rnacentral:rRNA from 1 species
UGGGGAAUUUUGCACAAUGGGCGAAAGCCUGAUGCAGCGACGCCGCGUGAGGGAUGACGGCCUUCGGGUUGUAAACCUCUUUCGCUCAUGGUCAAGGCUAGUUUUUGUUCUAGUUGAGGGUAGUGGGUAAAGAAGCGCCGGCUAACUACGUGCCAGCAGCCGCGGUAAUACGUAGGGCGCGAGCGUUGUCCGGAAUUAUUGGGCGUAAAGGGCUUGUAGGCGGCUUGUCGCGUCUGCCGUGAAAUCCUGGGGCUUAACCUUGGGCUUGCGGUGGGUACGGGCUGGCUUGAGUGCGGUAGGGGAGACUGGAAUUCCUGGUGUAGCGGUGGAAUGCGCAGAUAUCAGGAGGAACACCGGUGGCGAAGGCGGGUCUCUGGGCCGUUACUGACGCUGAGGAGCGAAAGCGUGGGGAGCGAACAG